AGUGAACGCUGGCGGUAGGCCUAACACAUGCAAGUCGAACGGCAGCACAGUAAGAGCUUGCUCUUACGGGUGGCGAGUGGCGGACGGGUGAGGAAUACAUCGGAAUCUACUUUUUCGUGGGGGAUAACGUAGGGAAACUUACGCUAAUACCGCAUACGACCUACGGGUGAAAGCAGGUGAUCUUCGGACCUUGCGCGAUUGAAUGAGCCGAUGUCGGAUUAGCUAGUUGGCGGGGUAAAGGCCCACCAAGGCGACGAUCCGUAGCUGGUCUGAGAGGAUGAUCAGCCACACUGGAACUGAGACACGGUCCAGACUCCUACGGGAGGCAGCAGUGGGGAAUAUUGGACAAUGGGCGCAAGCCUGAUCCAGCCAUACCGCGUGGGUGAAGAAGGACUUCGGGUUGUAAAGCCCUUUUGUUGGGAAAGAAAAGAAGCAGGUUAAUACCCCGCUGUUAUGACGGUACCCAAAGAAUAAGCACCGGCUAACUUCGUG
rnacentral:rRNA from 1 species